UAUCUCUGUAGAGUCUGCAUAUCAAUAAGCGGAGGAAAAGAAACUAACUAGGAUUCCCUCAGUAACGGCGAGUGAAGCGGGAAGAGCUCAAAUUUGAAAUCUUCAAGGUUCUACCUUGACGAAUUGUAGUUUAAAGAAGUGUUUUCUGUUGGAGUUUUGGUAAAAGUUCUUUGGAAUAGGACAGUCAUAGAGGGUGAGAAUCCCGUAUUUGACCAUUACUUUCCAGCGUUGUGAUACACUUUCAAAGGAGUCGGAUUGUUUGGGAAUGCAGUCCAAAAUGGGGUGGUAAAUUUCAUCUAAAGCUAAAUACUGGCGAGAGACCGAUAGCGAACAAGUACCGUGAGGGAAAGAUGAAAAGAACUUUGAAAAGAGAGUUAAACAGUACGUGAAAUUGUCAAAAGGGAAGCGUUUGACACCAGUGUUGUUUUCUCGAAAAUCAAUUAAAAAAAGUUGGAUUUUGUAUUGUUAAGACCUUAUCAGCUUACUGUACUCUUUUCUUGCUUUUUUUAAUGCACUUUUCGUUUAACAAGUCAACAUCAAUUCCUUUUGUUGUAAAAGAGUCAUUGGAAGGUGGCCUUCACUUCGGUGAAAGUGUUUAUAGCCUUUGGCUUCUGCAAUCGGAGAGAUUGAGGUCUGCAGCGUAGAUCCUUCGGGGCUAGAUACGUAGAUGCUAAUGUUAUAGUUUUUUAUAGACAACUUGUUGACUAUAAUUAAUCAUGUAGCUUACUCGUUUGCGCUAUUUUACCUACGCUUAGGAUGUUGAAGUCAUCGUAUCGCGC
rnacentral:rRNA from 1 species